rnacentral:rRNA from 1 species
UACAGAGGGGGCAAGCGUUAUUCGGAAUUACUGGGCGUAAAGGGCGCGUAGGCGGCACUGUUAGUCAGGCGUGAAAGUCCUGGGCUCAACCUGGGAACUGCGCUUGAUACGGCAGAGCUAGAGGAUGGAAGAGGGUCGCGGAAUUCCCAGUGUAGAGGUGAAAUCGUAGAUAUUGGGAAGAACACCGGUGGCGAAGGCGGCGACCUGGUCCAUUACUGACGCUGAGGC